UACGGAGGAUGCGAGCGUUAUCCGGAUUUAUUGGGUUUAAAGGGUGCGUAGGCGGUAUGGUAAGUCAGCGGUAAAAGCCCGGGGCUCAACCCCGGCGAGCCGUUGAAACUGCCGUGCUAGAGAGGAAGAGAAGUAGGCGGAAUGCGCAGUGUAGCGGUGAAAUGCUUAGAUAUUAGGAGGAACACCAGUGGCGAAGGCGGCUUACUGGACUGUAACUGACGCUGAGGCUCGAAAGCGUGGGGAGCAAACAGG
rnacentral:rRNA from 1 species